CAGGGAGCUCUUGCUGAGCGCGCUGCUGUCGUUGGUGCUCUGCACUGCCUCAGCCCGACGUUCACGGUUGCGUGAGCCCAUGGUCAGGGGAGUCAGGAGCGGCGGUCCGUCGGGGUGGUUUCGCGGGAGGACUGACGGCUGCGGCUUUUUGUGGACACGUGGACUGUGUCGGGGAAGCGCGGAUUGUCACUUUUCUACAAACCUUCCUGGCUGAAACGAAAAUUUAUCUCAAGUUUUCAUAAGCUGACUCACUGUUGACAGAAAUCUUUCAGAGGUGAAACUGAGCCCAGAACUACGUAUACUGUUAAUCUUAUCAAAACGGGUGGAAAUAAAGCAGUCUGAAGGAAAUUCAAGGCCACCAAACUUACUGACUGAACUGCUUUUAGUAUUCAUGCUGAGAAUAAGUGGCUGGGGAAAGACCUUGCUAUUCUGCUAAAUGAUGAUGGAGGCAGAAGAACAGCCCCGGAAGACAGCCUUUUACUCAAAAUUACCUAAAGUGGAACUUCAUGCCCACUUGAAUGGAUCCAUUAGUUCCAAUACCAUAAAGAAAUUAAUAGCCAAGAAACCAGAUCUUAAAAUCCACGGUCAGAUGACUAUGAUUGACAAAGGAAAGAAAAGAACUUUAGAAGAGUGCCUCCACAUGUUUCAAAUAAUUCAUCUACUUACUACUAGCCCUGAAGAUGUUCUAAUGGUGACGAAAGAUGUCAUUAAAGAAUUUGCAGAUGACGGUGUCAAGUAUCUGGAACUAAGGAGCACACCCAGAGGAGAAAAUACUACAGGAAUGACUAAAAAGACUUAUGUGGAAUCUAUACUUGAGGGUAUAAAACAGUCCAAAGAAGAAAACGUAGACAUUGAUGUUAGGUAUUUGAUAUCAAUUGACAGAAGAGGUGGCCCUUCAGCAGCCAAGGAGGCUGUUAAACUUGCUGAAGAGUUCUUCCUUUCUGCAGAGGAUACAGUUCUUGGCCUUGACCUCAGUGGAGACCCUGCAGCAGGACAAGCAAAAGACUUCUUAGAACCUCUUUUAGAAGCUAAAAAAUCUGGUCUGAAGUUGGCACUUCAUCUUUCAGAGAUUCCAAACCGAAAAACAGAAACACAAGUACUCCUGAACCUGUUUCCUGACCGAAUCGGGCAUGGGACAUUUCUCAGCUCCUCCGAGGAAGGAUCCUCGGAUCUGGUGGACUUUGUGAGGCAACAUCAGAUACCGCUCGAACUUUGUUUGACCUCGAACAUCAAAAGUCAGACAGUUCCAUCUUACGACCAACAUCACUUUGGAUUCUGGUACAGCAUUGCCCAUCCUGCCGUGAUCUGUACUGAUGAUAAGGGUGUUUUUGCAACACGCCUUUCUCAAGAGUACCAGCUGGCGGCUGAAACAUUUCAUCUGACCCAGUCUCAGGUGUGGGAUCUGUCUUAUGAGUCCAUCAACUACAUCUUUGCUUCUGACAGCACCAAGGCUGACCUGAGGAAGAAGUGGAGUCAUCUGAAGCCCCAUUUUUAAGCUGUAACGAGAUGCCACUGCCUUCCCUUUGCUAUUUCUACCUAAGAAGAGGACCUUACCACUGGGGCUCUGAAAUAAGACUGGAGCACGGACUCUUUGAGAGGCACCGUUCCUCGUUCCAAGGACCCUGCAUGAUGUUGAGCAUGUUGGUAGGUGUUCAAAAACAGAUCAGUUUUGCAAGUGGGAUUGAGGGACUGCAUCUGGAUGAUUAGACAGAGACCACUACCAGCCUGGCUGAGAAGGCUGGUGUCUGGGAUGAUAACAUCAGAAUUCAAAACCACCUCAACAAGUUAAAGAAGUGUUCAAGGAAAACAACAUACAACAUGGAGCUCAGCAGAGCACAAAGAAGAAGAACAAGUCCCACAAAACCAAGUUUAAGAACCAGGCACAAAGACAAUCAGGAAGAGACCUGGGAGUAUCAAGUGAAUGAUAAUCAUUAGUUGAGUUAUACUGAAAGAAAGUAUAAUGAAAUUCUGAAGUAAAAUUCUUAGUCUGCCUCUACCUGCCAGACCCUCACUGGAAUAAUAUAUAUAAUUUAAUUCUCCACAAUUAAUGUGAUGUUUGAAGAAUUUUCCAAAGGAGAGUAACAAAAACUUAGUAGGUCUGAAGAAUGGAGCUUCUGGGGAAAAGCUUAAAGAAACAAAUCUAGUUUAAUAUGGAGAAAGAAAAUGACUAAAGGGAAGAUAAGCCAAGUAUAGAAAAGAAUUUUUAUCUAGAAAAUUCAAACUUAGUGUCAUUACCAGGAGAAAAGAAAUUCCAAGUCCUGGUAAAAACUAUAGAGAGCCAUUCUCUGGCAGACUUAUCAAAAGAGGAAGUAUAAGAAUACUUAUUGCAACAGAGAGCUAAGCUACUUGCCUUCAGGAGGUCCCCAACAGCUGCAUGCUCCAUUUCCACUCAUUCCUGAAAUCCCUUUCCCACUCACUGCUCCCAACCCUACUUCCCAACUUAGAACGGCAUCCUAUCUUCCCAGAUGAAUC